ACCGGCAGCUCAAGUGGUGGCCAUUUUUAUUGGGCCUAAAGCGUUCGUAGCCGGUUUGAUAAGUCUCUGGUGAAAUCCCGCAGCUUAACUGUGGGACUUGCUGGAGAUACUAUUAGACUUGAGGUCGGGAGAGGUUAGGGGUACUCCCAGGGUAGGGGUGAAAUCCUAUAAUCCUGGGAGGUGAACCUGUGGCGAAGGCGCCGAAAUGGAACGAACCUCACGGGGAGUAACGAAAGCCAGUGGCGCGAACCG
rnacentral:rRNA from 1 species